GUGUUUGCUUCAGCAGCGCAUAUACUAAAAUUGGAAUGAUACACAGUAGAUUAGCAUGGCCCCUGUGCAAGGAUGACAUGUAAAUUCAUAAAGCACUCCAUGUUUUU
ensembl:snRNA U6 U6 spliceosomal RNA